rnacentral:lncRNA from 1 species
GAGAAAACAGAUAAGGUAAAGGCAAGAAUUGGGGCCUGAGUGUCCAGGGUCACCUCUCUGACUCCAAACAUCCAGAAGCAAUGAGAGAGAUCAUGAAACUGUGAGAUGUGGGUAGAGAGGGCUCCGCAGAUAGGAUACAGAAUACAGAAGACGAAAAUUUACACAGCAGCACCAUCAAGCCAAGUAGCAGGUGUAAAGGAUAGAGAGUACCCAUUGAAAAUACAGCACCUAAAAGAAAAUGGAGCCCAGAGGUUCACAGAAGUUUCCUGAGAUGGAAGGACAACGUCUAGUCAAGAGCUGUCGAAUAAAGGCCAGAACCAAAAUGUGAGCCAUUGGGAGUUGAGGCAAAGGGG